rnacentral:lncRNA from 1 species
AUGAACAAAGCUAGUGGAGGUGAUGGAAUUCCAGUGGAGCUAUUUCAAAUCCUGAAAGAUGAUGCUGUGAAAGUGCUGCACUCAUUAUGCCAGCAAAUUUGGAAAACUCGGCAGUGGCCACAGGACUGGAAAAGAUCCGUUUUCAUUCCAAUUUCAAAGAAAGGUAAUGCCAAAGAAUGCUCAAACUAUCACAUAUUUGCACUCAUCUCACAUGCUAGUAAAGUAAUGCUCAAAAUUCUGCAAGCCAGGCUUCAGCAAUAUAUGAGCUGUGAACUUCCAGAAGUUCAAGCUGGUUUUAGAAAAGGCAGAGGAACCAGAGAUCAAAUUGCCAACAUCUGCUGGAUCAUUGAAAAAGCUAGAGAGUUCCUGAAAAACAUCCAUUUCUGCUUUAUUGACUAUGCCAAAGCCUUUGAUUGUGUGGAUCACAAUAAACUGAGGAAAAUUCUGAAAGAGAUGGGAAUACCAGAGCACCUGACCUGCCUCUUGAGAAAUCUGUGUGCAGGUCAGGAAGCAACAGUUAGAACUGGACAUGAAACACCAGACUGGUUCCAAAUAGGAAAAGGAGUACGUCAAAGCUGUAUCUUGUCACCAUGCUUAUUUAACUUAUAUGCAGAGUACAUCAUGAGAAACGCUGGGCUGGAAGAAGCACAAGCUGGAAUCAAGGUUACCGGGAGAAAUAUCAAUAACUUCAGAUAUGCAGAUGACACCAUCCUUAUGGCAGAAAGUGAAGAACUAAAAAGCCUCUUGAUGAAAGUGAAAGAGGAGAGUGAAAAAGUUGGCUUAAAGCUCAACAUUCAGAAAAUGAAGAUCAUGGCAUCUGGUCCUAUCUCUUCAUGGGAAAUAGAUGGGGAAACAGUAGAAACAAUGUCAGACUUUAUUUUUUUGGGCUCCAAAAUCACUGCAGAUGGUGAUUGCAGCCAUGAAAUUAAAAGACGCUUACUCUUUGGAAGGAAAUUUAUGACCAACCUAGAUAGUAUAUUGAAAAGCAGAGAUAUUACUUUACCAAUAAAGGUCCAUCUAGUCAAGGCUAUGGUUUUUCCAGUGGUCAUGUAUGGAUGUGAGAGUUGGACUGUGAAGAAAGCUGAGUGCUGA